rnacentral:rRNA from 1 species
UACGUAGGGUGCGAGCGUUGUCCGGAUUUAUUGGGCGUAAAGAGCUCGUAGGCGGUUUGUCGCGUCGGCCGUGAAAUCUCCACGCUUAACGUGGAGCGUGCGGUCGAUACGGGCAGACUUGAGUUCGGUAGGGGAGACUGGAAUUCCUGGUGUAGCGGUGAAAUGCGUAGAGAUCCGGAGGAAGACCGGUGGCGAAGGCGGUCUGCUGGGCAGUUUCUGACACUGAUGCGCGACAGCGUGGGGAGCAAACAGG